rnacentral:rRNA from 1 species
AGCGUUGUUCGGAAUUAUUGGGCGUAAAGGGUGCGUAGGCGGUUUGACAAGUCUGAUGUGAAAUCUAUGGGCUCAACCCAUAGUCUGCAUCGGAAACUGUCGGGCUUGAGUAUGGGAGAGGUGAGUGGAAUUUCCGGUGUAGCGGUGAAAUGCGUAGAUAUCGGAAGGAACACCUGUGGCGAAAGCGGCUCACUGGACCAUUACUGACGCUGAGGCACGAAAGCUAGGGGAGCAAACAGG